rnacentral:rRNA from 1 species
GUGGGGAAUCUUAGACAAUGGGGGAAACCCUGAUCUAGCCAUGCCGCGUGAGCGAUGAAGGCCUUAGGGUUGUAAAGCUCUUUCAGCUGGGAAGAUAAUGACUGUACCAGCAGAAGAAGCCCCGGCUAACUCCGUGCCAGCAGCCGCGGUAAUACGGAGGGGGCUAGCGUUGUUCGGAAUUACUGGGCGUAAAGCGCACGUAGGCGGACCGGAAAGUCAGAGGUGAAAUCCCAGGGCUCAACCUUGGAACUGCCUUUGAAACUCCUGGUCUUGAGGUCGAGAGAGGUGAGUGGAAUUCCGAGUGUAGAGGUGAAAUUCGUAGAUAUUCGGAGGAACACCAGUGGCGAAGGCGGCUCACUGGCUCGAUACUGACGCUGAGGUGCGAAAGCGUGGGGAGCAAACAGGAUUAGAAACCCUAGUAGUCC